rnacentral:rRNA from 1 species
GCGUGUGUGAAGAAGGCCUGCGGGUUGUAAAGCACUUUUAUCGGGAAAGAAACAGCUAGGGGCUAAUACCCUCUAGCCUUGACGGUACCCGUUGAAUAAGCACCGGCUAACUCCGUGCCAGCAGCCGCGGUAAUACGGAGGGUGCAAGCGUUAAUCGGAAUUACUGGGCGUAAAGCGAGUGUAGGCGGCUGCAUAAGUCGGAUGUGAAAGCCCCGGGCUUAACCUGGGAAUUGCAUUCGAUACUGUGCAGCUAGAGUCUGAUAGAGGGAAGUGGAAUUCCAGGUGUAGCGGUGAAAUGCGU